CAAUAGCGUAUAUUAAAGUUGUUGCAGUUAAAAAGCUCGUAGUUGGAUCUCGGGUCCAGGCUCGCGGUCUCGCCUCGCGGCGUUCACUGCCCGUCCUGACCUACCCACCGGCUUUCUCUUGGUGCUCUUGACCGAGUGUCCACGGAGCGGCCGGGACGUUUACUUUGAAGAAAUUAGAGUGUUCAAAGCGGACGUCGCCCGUUCGAAUCAGUGUGCAUGGAAUAAUGGAAUAGGACCUCGGUUCUAUUUUGUUGGUUUUCGGAGCUCGAGGUAAUGAUCAAUAGGGACAGCCGGGGCCAUCCGUAUUACGGUGUUAGAGGUGAAAUUCUUGGAUCGCCGUAAGACGAACUGCAGCGAAAGCGUUUGGCAAGAGUGUCCCCAUUAAUCAAGAGCGAAAGUCGGAGGUUCGAAGACGAUUAGAUACCGU
rnacentral:rRNA from 1 species